rnacentral:rRNA from 1 species
CCUACGGGCGGCAGCAGUGGGGAAUAUUGGACAAUGGGGGAAACCCUGAUCCAGCGACGCCGCGUGAGUGAAGAAGUAUUUCGGUACGUAAAGCUCUAUCAGCAGGAAAGAAAAUGACGGUACCUGACUAAGAAGCCCCGGCUAACUACGUGCCAGCAGCCGCGGUAAUACGUAGGGGGCAAGCGUUAUACGGAUUUACGGGGUGUAAAGGGAGCGUAGACGGCAGCGCAAGUAUGGCUUGAAAUGCCCGGGCCCAACCCCGGAACUGCUCUGGAAACUGUGAAGCUGGAGUGCAGGAGAGGGAAGCCGAAUUCCUGGUGUAGCGGUGAACUGCGUAGAUAUCAGGAGGAACACCGGCGGCGAAGGCGGCUUACUGGACUGUAACUGACGUUGAGGCUCGAAGGCGUGGGGAGCAAACAGGAUUAGAUACCCGAGUAGUC